rnacentral:rRNA from 1 species
AUUGAACGCUGGCGGCAUGCUUUACACAUGCAAGUCGAACGGCAGCGCGGGCUUCGGCCUGGCGGCGAGUGGCGAACGGGUGAGUAAUACAUCGGAACGUGCCCAGUAGUGGGGGAUAGCUCGGCGAAGGCCGGAUUAAUACCGCAUACGACCUGAGGGUGAAAGCGGGGGAUCUUCGGACCUCGCGCUAUUGGAGCGGCCGAUGGCAGAUUAGCUAGUUGGUGGGGUAAAGGCCUACCAAGGCGACGAUCUGUAGCUGGUCUGAGAGGACGACCAGCCACACUGGGACUGAGACACGGCCCAGACUCCUACGGGAGGCAGCAGUGGGGAAUGUUGGACAAUGGGCGAAAGCCUGAUCCAGCAAUGCCGCGUGUGUGAUGAAGGCCUUCGGGUUGUAAAGCACUUUUGGCGGGAACGAAAAGGACUGUGCCAAUACCACGGUUCGAUGACGGUACCCGCAGAAUAAGCACCGGCUAACUACGUG